rnacentral:rRNA from 1 species
CCUACGGGCGGCAGCAGUGGGGAAUAUUGGACAAUGGGGGCAACCCUGAUCCAGCCAUGCCGCGUGUGUGAAGAAGGCCCUCGGGUUGUAAAGCACUUUCAGUGAGGAAGAACGCCUGGUGGUUAAUACCCAUCAGGAAAGACAUCACUCACAGAAGAAGCACCGGCUAACUCCAUGCCAGCAGCCGCGGUAAUACGGAGGGUGCGAGCGUUAAUCGGAAUUACUGGGCGUAAAGCGCGCGUAGGUGGCUUGAUAAGCCGGUUGUGAAAGCCCCGGGCUCAACCUGGGAACGGCAUCCGGAACUGUCAAGCUAGAGUGCAGGAGAGGAAGGUAGAAUUCCCGGUGUAGCGGUGAAAUGCGUAGAGAUCGGGAGGAAUACCAGUGGCGAAGGCGGCCUUCUGGACUGACACUGACACUGAGGUGCGAAAGCGUGGGUAGCAAACAGGAUUAGAUACCCUUGUAGUC